GCCCUUGUAAGUCUCAGGUGGUUAGAGCUACGCCGCGAAGUCGUGGUCGCCGGUUCGAGGCCGGCCGAGGGCA
rnacentral:tRNA from 17 species